CAGGACCUGGGGACAUGUGUGCCGACCAGGUUUUCAAGGUGACCACUGUCUUCUUGAAAUAUGGCUCUUGUGAGAUGAAUUUUGCCCUGGAGGAGUCCCAAGGGUCCUGGUGACAAGGACGGCCUUAGGGGCUGUUGGAGAUGGCCGUGGCCCGUUCUCCAUCACUGUAACAAAUACGCCAGGUGAUCCACUUAUAAAGAGAAAAGGUUCAAGUGUGAAUGCGAGUUCUGGAGGCUUCGGUCUAUAUGGGGUGGCCGGGUGGUGUUGGGGUCUCUAGUGGCUAAGACAACGUGUCAUCGUGGAGAGGGCAUUGGGGACAAGCUGCCUCAGGAGCCGGGAGUGAAAGAGAGAAAGAGGAAGAGUCUGGGGUCCGACCGUCACCUUCAAUGCCAUCGCCAAUUGUCCCAGAGCGAGGCCUUCUGGGAAGCAUUCAAACCCCAAUUCUUGUCAAGUCCGAAAGAUGUCAAACCUGUCACUCAGAGUGACAGGCAGGAGCGUAUUGAAGGGGUGGAAAGGGGAAGGGGACACUUUCAAGGGACAGAGGGGUCCUCUCAGGACAGGGACAGCCCUCCUGCCCUCCAGUUUUAUUGGGGUCCCAGGGAAGUUCCCAGAGAGCCCCUCCCAGGUCCCCUCCUGACUUUUGACGGACAGCAGGGUGACAUCCAACUCUCCAGUCCCCAUGGCCAUGGCCACUCUGGGUCACCCUGGCCCCUGCUGCCCGGUUCUCAGUGGAACCUGUUCUUGCAGAUUUUAGGGUUGGAGGAAAGAUCAUUGUCCCCAUGAGUCCCGAGAUCUGGUCUGCGUCAGGGUCCCAGAAGUCCCCCCUUCAGGGUCACCUAGCUCCUCUCAGGGACAGGAUUUCCUGCCUGCAUUUCUUUGGGUGCCAAGUCCAUGUCGCCCAUGUGAGCUGGACCGUCCCCGUUUGAGCUGAUGACCUGCAGCUUGCAAGGCGUCACUCCCUCGGCCCCCACUGUCCCCUCCCCCGGCUGGUGUUCAAAGGCUGUGCGCGCCAGAGGCCCACCUGGGUGUCCAUUCCCCGCGGCGUGGCCAAGGGCUGCCCAGGUCCGAGCGCAGGACCGUGUGUGCGGGAGCUCACGAGCGUCCUCCGCGGGUGCCCAGGUUGCGCACUCGUACGCGGGCGAGGACCCCUGGGCGUGCAAACGCGUGCAAACCGAGUGUCGAGUGGCGCGGGCUCUGUCCCCCGCCGGCCCUCUCCGUCACCUGUGAAAUCUGCAUUUUAUUGAGAUACUAUGCUCACUUCCAUCUUAUGACUGGACCACAUCUUGCAGCCACCACCUUCGUGGGGUCCCCAGACACGUGUUAUGGUCCCCAAAGGACACCCCACCCUUCAGCAAAGUCUUAUUGGAAUCAGCAAAAAGAACGACAUCGAAAAUUUGAAACUUAGCUCAGGUUUUAUGGGAAAAUAAUUUUCUCUUUUAUUUAUCUUAAAAUGCCUCUUGUCGCUUCUUUGUUAGAAAAACUGAUACUUUUUAUUUAUUUAUUUUUUUUUGGGGGGGGGCGGUUCUCGGAAUUGAACCAAUAGAACCUUAUUCGGAGUCAAUGGCACGUUCUGCCCACUAGGUGGCGCCCCAACCUGGCAUGUGAAUAUUCAUAUAUAUACGUACAUAGGGACUUAAGUCAGAAAUCAGUGAUUUGGGGCACGUCUAGUGUUUUUCCACCUUAAAACCCCACACGAACCAGGCACAGUGGUGCACAUCUGUGAUCCCAGGAGUCUGAGGCAGGAGGAUGGGGAAGUUGGAGGCCAGCUUGGGCAACUUAGGGAGGCUCUGUCUGUAAACAAAAAAUGAAAAGGGUUGGGGAUGUAGCUCCGUGGUCGAAGGCCCCUGGGUUCGAUCCCUGGUACAAACAAACAAACAAACAAACAAACAAAUAAAUAAAUAAAUAAAUAAAUAAAUAAAUAAAGUUAAUUGAAUUAUUAUUAAGUUAAUUAAAAAUAUGUAAAAAGGGCUGGGGAUGAGGCUCAGUGGUCCAGUGCCCCUGAGUUCCUAACCUGGUACCUUCCCCCCCAAUGGGGUGAUUGGGUUGCUUGCUCAUGUAACUGAAUUUUCAGUACAUCCUCAAUAUGUAAUAAACAUUUGACAUCACAACCACUUUCCAUGUGCGUGGCUUAUCAUUUUAUCUUAUUCAUGGUGUUACUCAAAAAGUGC
rnacentral:lncRNA from 1 species